GUUGAACGCUGGCGGCGUGCUUAACACAUGCAAGUCGAGCGGCAGCGCGCCCUUCUUGCUGGCUGCGCGCGGCGCGCGGGUGAGUGAUGCACCGGAACAUCCCCCGCCUUUCGUGAUAACACUUCCACAGAACUGCGGAUCCCACAUACGUCCAGAUGCGGAAACCGGGGGAUCGCUAGACCUCGCCCGCUUUGGGUGGCCGAGUCGAGAUUUGCUAGUUGGUUGGGUAAAGGCCUACCAAGGCGACGAUCGGUAGCUAGUCUGAGAGGAUGAUCGGCCACACUGGAACUGAGACACGGCCCAGACUCCUACGGGAGGCAGCAGUGGGGAAUGUUGGGCAAUGGGGGGAAGCCUGAUGCAGCCACUCCGCGUGAGUGAAGAAGGCCUUCGGGUUGUAAAGCUCUUUUGGCAGGAAAGAAACGGUGUGCUCUAACAUAGUCCGGUAAUGACGGUACCUGAAGAAGAAGCACCGGCUAACUACGUG
rnacentral:rRNA from 1 species